rnacentral:rRNA from 1 species
UACAGAGGUCCCAAGCGUUGUUCGGAUUCACUGGGCGUAAAGGGUGCGUAGGCGGUCGGGUAAGUCUGGCGUGAAAUCUCCAAGCCUAACUUGGAAACUGCGUUGGAUACUAUCCGGCUCGAGGAAUGGAGGGGAGACUGGAAUACUUGGUGUAGCAGUGAAAUGCGUAGAUAUCAAGUGGAACACCAGUGGCGAAGGCGGCUCACUGGACCAUUACUGACGCUGAUGCACGAAAGCUAGGGGAGCAAACAGG